rnacentral:rRNA from 1 species
UACGAAGGGGACUAGCGUUGUUCGGAAUUACUGGGCGUAAAGCGCACGCAGGCGGUCUUUUAAGUUUGACGUGAAAGCUCCCGGCUUAACUGGGAGAGGUCGUUGAAGACUGGAAGACUUGAGGCAAUGAGAGGGGUGUAGAAUUCCCGGUGUAGUGGUGGAAUGCGUAGAUAUCGGGGGGAAUACCAGUGGCGAAAGCGGCACCCUAGCGUUAGCCUGACGCUCAUGUGCGAAAGCGUGGGGAGCGAACGGG